rnacentral:rRNA from 1 species
AUCUCUUAGUAAUGGCGAAUGAAAAGAGAUGUGCUUAGUGUCAAAAUCAGGUUUUCCUGAAUUGUAGGCUGUAGGGGUAACGCCAACUUGGGUGCAGGUGAAAGUCUCUUGGAAAGGAGCACCAGUGAGGGUCAGGGUCCCGCCUGUCAUCUGUCAUCCCUUGUAGACGGUGUGCUCAUUGAGAGUCGUGUUCUUCUGGAAUAGAGCGCCAAACGGGUGGUACUCUUUGCCUAAGGAGCAUUACGUGCUUGAGACCAAUAGCGAACAAGUACCAUGAGGGAAGGGUGAAAAGGACUUUGGAAAGAGGGUUAAGAGGGCAUGAAGCUGCUGGAAGGGAAGUGGAUUGGACUUUUACUCCAUGGUAAGAUUGCAGUGUGUAGUCUUCACUUGUGGGGAAUUGCACUCUGUGUCUCUUACUGUAUGGUUGAGCUCUGUGUCGCGCUCAGAAUCUUAGUGUGGACUGGAGAAGGGUUGCGAUUUGGACCAUGUCCUUGCCUACUCUUAGCACGACAUUUAUCUUGACCAAAUGGUUCAAUUUUACCCGUCUUGAAACACGGACCAAGGAGUCUAAUGCGUGUGCAAGUGCAAGGGAUUGACACCUGACAGCUCAACAAAGGUGACUGCUGGGAUACUUGCACCAGCAACCAACUGAUCGCUUAGGAGAUGUUUGUGUAUGAGCACACUUGCUAGGACCCGAAAGGUGGUGAACUAUGCCUGAGAAGGGUGACGUCAGGGGAAACUCUGAUGGAAGCUCGUAGCGCUACUGACGUGCAAAUCGUUCGUCUGAC